GGGAUACACAGCAGGCCCACCACAGUCCCCAGACUGCACACCGGGGGGAUCUAGUUACAUAGAGUGUUAGGGUUCUUAGGGAUUGGCUUGUUUUGGCCUUGUUUUGAAAUGGCAUUAGCUUGAUUUUUGGCUUAUUGUGAAAGUUGGGGUGCUUAUUUACCACAUGAGAGUUGGCAACUGUGAUUCACUCCUGUGGAAAUGCUUAUAGCUGUCACAAUCAGAGGAUUAUGGCUUCAGAUGAGGAAUAAAGAGUAGAUGAACAUGAUAAUUUAGGAACAUAGUUCCUCUUUUCAUACUCAUGUUCAGAGUCAUAAACAGAUCUGACCACAAUUUUGUAUCAGCAUUUUUUGGGAUGAAAUGGCAGUUUUCUCAUGAACAUUUCUCUUUUCACCAAAACUGUGAAGUGGUUUGCUUGAAAAGUGAAAACUUUAAAAAAAAGAAAGAUUGAUUUAGGUGUUUUUUGGCAAAAACCUGAAAACUUUCCUCAAAAAUGUUACUGGAAAAUAAAGUAAAUUUUCCAACCAGCUGUAGUAACAAACCACUUUUCUUCCCUUAUUUAUUUAUUUUAAGAAACAAAAGCUCUGUGGCCUAUCCUCACCCUUAUCAGCAAUCCAGAUAUAAACCUCCUUUACAACAAUUCUGAAAAAAGGUGGGCUUUUGCCUGCCCUCAGUUCAGCUACCCAAUCCAAGCAUAUCUUCUCCCCCGUUAUGCCCCACGUAAUUCCUCUUUCUCCAACCCACUUUUGUA